rnacentral:rRNA from 1 species
AUUGAACGCUGGCGGCCGGCCUAACACAUGCAAGUCGAACGAGUGGCGGACGGGUGAGUAAUGUCUGGGAAACUGCCUGAUGGAGGGGGCUAACUACUGGAAACGGUAGCUAAUACCGCAUACCCUCGGAUGUGCCCAGAUGGGAUUAGCCAGUUGGUGGGGUAAAGGCUCACCUAGGCGACGCUCCCUAGCUGGUCUGAGAGGAUGACCAGCCACACGGGAACUGAGACACGGUCCAGACUCCUACGGGAGGCAGCAGUGGGGAAUAUUGCACAAUGGGCGCAAGCCUGAUGCAGCCAUGCCGCGUGUAUGAAGAAGGCCUUCGGGUUGUAAAGUACUUUCAGCGGGGAGGCGUUACCCGCAGAAGAAGCACCGGCUAACUCCGUGCCAGCAGCCGCGGUAAUUC